UACAGAGGAGCCAAGCGUUGUCCGGAUUGACUGGGCGUAAAGCGCACGCAGGCGGACGCGCGCGUGGGGUGUGAAAUCUGGCCGCUUAACGGCCAGGCGCCAUCCCAUACGGCGCGUCUGGAGUGUGCAGAGGUCGAUGGAAUUGCCGGUGUAGUGGUGAAAUGCGUAGAGAAUCGGGCAGGAACACCCAGGGGGGAAACCAGUCGGAACUGGGCCAUCGUAACUGACGCUGAGGUGCGAGAGCGUGGGAGCGGAACCGG
rnacentral:rRNA from 1 species